rnacentral:rRNA from 1 species
GACAGCAGUAGCCGCGGUAAUACAGAGGGUGCGAGCGUUAAUCGGAUUUACUGGGCGUAAAGCGUGCGUAGGCGGCUUCUUAAGUCGGAUGUGAAAUCCCUGAGCUUAACUUAGGAAUUGCAUUCGAUACUGGGAAGCUAGAGUAUGGGAGAGGAUGGUAGAAUUCCAGGUGUAGCGGUGAAAUGCGUAGAGAUCUGGAGGAAUACCGAUGGCGAAGGCAGCCAUCUGGCCUAAUACUGACGCUGAGGUACGAAAGCAUGGGGAGCAAACAGGAUUAGAUACCCCAGUAGUCCCUGUCUCUUAUAC